GCGCCCGUAGCUCAAUUGGACAGAGUGUUUGGUUACGGCCCAAAAGGUUAGGGGUUCGACUCCUCUCGGGCGCGCCA
rnacentral:tRNA from 2 species